GGGCUCCUGUGUUUCCACCUAAGGCCCAGUUCACCCAUGAGCCAGGCAUCUGCUGGCAGAUGAGAACAAGACAUGGUCUCAGGAAGUCUGCAGGCAGACCCCCGGCCUUCCAGGAUGAGACCUGAGGCCAUGCCGCAUUCCUGGCCUGGCCAUGUCUGUUCAUAGAAUUGCCUCCACGUUGGCCAGCCCCACGCCUCCAGACUCUAUGUCUACACAGCUCACCUUGGUAAUCUCGGGGCCAGAGGACAGAAGCAGCUUAUGUUGGGAAGGGGCAUCUGAGAAGGAGAUGGGAGCUCACUGUGUCGCCCACACUGGAGUGCAGUCGUGCAAUCAUGGCUUACUACAGCCUCAAACUCCUGGGCUCAAGCGAUCCUCCCACCUCAGCCUCCCAAGUAGCUGGGAUUACAGGAGCAGGUCUGUUUGUCAAGAAUCCAAGCACGCCUGUGCUCUGUGGCCACAGGGAGAGGAGGGGCCGCUUUUAAAUACAAGCCUACUCCUGUCGUUGGACCACAACAAAGACCCACUGGACAGAAGCACAUGAGAGACUAGAGCGCAAUGGUUCGAUCUUGGCUCACUGCAACUUCCACCUCCCGAGUUCAAGCGAUUCUCCUGACAGAAGUCCACUCAAGCCAGCCAUUGUAGCUAGCAUCGGGGCUCCAGCC
rnacentral:antisense_RNA from 1 species